UACGGAGGAUCCGAGCGUUAUCCGGAUUUAUUGGGUUUAAAGGGUGCGCAGGCGGGAGAUUAAGUCGGCGGUGAAAUUUUGCAGCUCAACUGUAAAAGUGCCUUCGAAACUGGUUUCCUUGAGUGUAGAUGAAGUAGUCGGAAUUUGUGGUGUAGCGGUGAAAUGCAUAGAUAUUACGAGGAACUCCGAUUGCGCAGGCAGCUUACUAAACUACUACUGACGCUCAGGCACGAAGGCGUGGGGAUCAAACAGGAUUAGAUACCCUGGUAGU
rnacentral:rRNA from 1 species